rnacentral:rRNA from 1 species
CACCAGGUUGAUUCUGCCUGACGUGGACGCUUGUUUUAAGGAUUUAGCCAUGCAUGUCUAGCGAAGCGUAAGUGGAGCGGCGAACGGCUCAGUAAUACAGUUAUGAUCUAUUCAUGCAGCAAGGGGAUAACCACGGUAACCUGUGGCUAAGACGACGGAGAUAUGCGGGCACUGAGGUGUAGCAUUGCUUGUGACUGAGUUUCUGGCCUAUCAGCUAGUGAAGGUAGGGUAAGGGCCUACCUUGGCGAUGACGGGUAACGGGGGAUCAGGGUUUGAUUCCGGAGAAGGAGCCUGAGAGAUGGCUGCUACGUCCAAGGAUGGCAGCAGGCGCGAAAAUUACCCAAUCUCCCACGGGAGGAGGUAGUGACGAAACGUAUGCGAGAGAGAGCAGUGUAAACGCCUGCUCGAGAGCGACUGGAGGGCAAGUCUGGUGCCAGCAGCCGCGGUAAUUCCAGCUCCAGUAGCGUCCAUGUGUGUUGCUGCAGUUAAAACGUCCGUAGUCGUGUGAGAGUUUUACGAAUGUCGUAGGGCGCACUGUCCUGUGGGUAACUGUGUCACAUCAAACGUCACGGAGCCACAGCAGCGAGCACAGCAGGAGCAGUUGAGGGCGAUGGUAUUCCUGUGCGAGAGGUGAAAUUCGAUGACCACUGGAGGACCGACAGAAGCGAAAGCGUUCGUCAUGGAUGUUUCCGAUGAUCAAGGACGUAAGCCGGAGUAUCGAAGGCGAUUAGAAACCGUCGUAGUUCCGGCCGUAAACGAUGCCGACCCACAGGGAUGACAGUCCUUGUGUGGAGAAAUUAGAGUUUAUGGGCUCUGGGGAUAGUACAGGCGCAAGCCCGAAACUUUAAGAAAUUGACGGAAGGACACCACAAGGAGUGGAGUAUGCGGGUUAAUUUGACUCAACGCGGGACAACUUACCAGGGCCGGAUGGAGGCGCGAAGCAAGCAUGACCGUGCUUGCUGAUUCUCCAGCGAGUGGUGCAUGGCCGUUCCCAACACGUGGGGUGACCUGUCUGGCUAAUUCCGAUAACGCGUGAGACCCUCGUGCCGUGCGAAUGGCAGACGAUCACCGACAAGGUGAGGGAAGCAGGGGGCGAUAACAGGUCCGUGAUGCCCUUAGAUGUUCUGGGCUUCGCGCGUACUACAUUGUGCAGGGCUUACUGAAGCGAAACCUGCACGAGGUCGGGACAGACGGUUGUAAAUCCGUCUCGAACGAGGAAUUCCUAGUAACAGCGAGUCACUAACUUGUUGUGAAUGCGUCCCUGUCCUUUGUACACACCGCCCGUCGCUAU